rnacentral:lncRNA from 1 species
UUUGAACCGCCCGGUCCGUCCAACGAACCGGCGUCGAGCCGGUACUUCACCACCAACGGCGGUUUAGAGGUCCAACUCGAGCUCAGCUUGCUCAGUAUACUAUUUGAAUGGUAAAGUGUUUCUGCAUUCAAUGUUUUAUAGAAUUAUGAGGGAAAAUAAUUAUAUACAAAAUUAAUUUGAUAGUUUUUUAUAGCAUUAGAAAAGGAGUAACGUUAACAUAUUUAUAACUAGAAAAUUUGCUUUUAAUAUCUAUGUUCAAGAAUUAAAAAAUAACAUACAUAAGAAUUAACAUGAAAUAUUUAGAAAUGAAAAAAAAGACUUUUUUUAUAUUUACAGAAUAAAAUGAAUAAUUAAAUUAAAUAUAUUUUAUGAGUUUGUUAAAUAAUGAGACUAAAAUGAAUUAAUUUAAAAAUUUGGCGCACUUUCAGAGAAGCGAGACGCAAGAGUAGAAGAACACGAAAGCCUUACUCCUCAAUUGCUUGAAACUCCGAUCAAGGUGCUCUCUGCUAACCUCGAGCAUCUCCGAUAACUGAUCUCCGGCCGCUGCAGCUUUCUCGAAAUUCUCCC